rnacentral:lncRNA from 1 species
GAAGAAAGCAAUGCAAGAAGGCACGAAAAGGAUACCAAAGACACAAAGGCAGCCACCGGCUUUGGAGCACAAAGCAAACGGGUUUCUCUCUAAUUUCUUCUCACAAAUCACAUACAAAAAGAGCUAGAACAAAACAACCAUAUACAUGGAUAUAGGUUAGGCUUUAAUUGGAUCAAGAGAGGGGUAACAUGAGUUAAGAUCUAAGAGCGGUCCAAUAGUCCAUGUUGUUUUCGAGUCUAGCCUUUAUUGUUGGUAAUCAAUGCCGAAGCUUGUGAAAAUAUAUUCUCAAGUUCACUAAAGUUUAUUCAAACAAAAUAUCUCUAGACUCUAGUACACAAUAUAAUAAAGCUAUGGCAGCCACAGCUCCAGCUCCUAGGAAAUUGGCUGUUGGCAGAAAGUUCUUUUUUGAGGAUACAGCUUCCAUAUAUAUGCCCAAGCCCAUCGGGACAGGAAAUGUAGCUUGCAAGUCGACUGAAACUUCAGUAGGGAAAAUUCCUACACAUCGCAAAGCAGAGAGGAGUUCGAGGUCAAAUGCACAUAGAUAAAAAUGAAUAGUUAAACUGAAACUAAACACAAGCAGUAAAAAAUAAAACCAUAGUUAGUAGUAAGCCGUGAAAUUGCUGGAUAUAACGAUCACAGGGAAGUUGUACAACCUAAGAUAGUUUUGGUAGGUUCUUAAAGGAGAAGCUUUCCUCGUGGGCUCAUAUUUUAGUCACAUUUCCAGCAAACUCAGCAAGACUGCUAUUGAAAUGGUUCAGACGAAAUAUCGGAUUUCUACUGUAAUAAGCCAAGUACCGGUGCACAGACAGCAGAGAAUUUCUGCCAUUAUAAUUUACGUAGAACAAAAGCGCACACAUACAAAAAUGCAAAAUAGGACCUGAAAAAUAACAAUCACAUUGUUUCAUAAUCCUUACAUACUAAUUUUCUAUUGGUCGAUCCCCCAACACUAGUUGAGCACAAUUUCUUCAGAAGCAUUUCUAGCGGCAUGAAACUGCAAACUUGCACAAGAAUUUUCUCAGCGAAGGUGUGAUCACACAAAAUUCAGAAGUUGCUAGCCAUUAAUAAAUUUAAAGUCAUUUGUGACGAUCAACUACCUCAUCACCAAAAGGACGAUCAAUAUCUGAAGACAUUUUUGAAGAGAAUGCUGCAAACAGUAGGCAUAAUGCUAAAGCAGUUUGAACCUUUGUUAUAUGGGAGAAGUAUAACUUAAAUCUUCUAAUAAAAGCUGUAUAGGAAUAGAAGAGCAAGGGAUAAAUACGGACUCAAGUUAAUAGUGCAGCCAACCGCCCCCAAAGAACAAAGAACCCAGAAUCACUUAAGGAAAACAUGUUUGACCUCAGCUGCUGAUUGAGCUCACCGUUGUCAGAAGUGUACAUGAUCCCAGCUCUGAAAAUAGACUCUGUGUAGGAAUUCAAACUAGCUACAUAUGGGAAUCUUCGGUUUACUAUAAUUAUGGGUUCAUAUUUUUAGGGAUAUUAAUCUUCCAUAUAUAGCUGUAAUUUACUUCCCUUAAAUAAUGUAAAUUAGUUCCUAGAAAUCAGGAUCUUCUCCACAGAUCUUUUUAUAUAUGUAUAUAUACCUGUAUUGUACCUAUUGAAGAGGAGAAAAUUACUCCCAUUCUAUUCUACUUCAUGGUAUCAGAGCCAAGCUCCUAAAACCUAAAUUUUUCAUCUGUCUGGCCGCCAACCCUAACCUAUUCUCAAUUCAUAUUUAUCUGUCACCUCUGUGAUAAUCUCAUCCACCAUGGCCGAAUCUGAACAAACUUCCAAGGACUCAUCAUCAUCUCCCAAUACUCCUAUCAAUUCUCAGGUCACUCAAACCACUCCCGAAAACAAUAUUACCCCUAUAAUCAACCACAAGCUCAAUGGCCACAACUAUCUCCAAUGGUCGCAAUCCACAAUGAUGUUUAUCAGUGGACGAAGCCGGGAUGAUUAUCUUACAGGGGCUGCUGCCCAACCAAGUUCAAGUGAUCCCAGAUUCAGAGUUUGGAGGGCAGAAAACAACCUGGUCAUGUCCUGGUUAAUUGGCUCAAUGACUACCGAGAUAGGUGAGAACUUCCUUCUCUACACUACAACCAAGGAAAUAUGGGAUGCAGCCCAUGACACCUUCUCUAGUAGUGAGAAUACUGCUGAACUCUUCCAUGUAGAGAGUAUCCGACAUGAUCUAAGGCAAGGAGAAAACACAGUCACCACCUACUUCACCACUCUGAUGCGACACUGGCAACAGUUGGACCUCCUUGAAUCUCACGAAUGGAAAUGUCCUGAUGACAGCACCUAUUUCAAGAAAAUAGUAGAGACCAAACACAUCUUCAAGUUUCUGAUGGGUCUUGAUAAGUCCCUUGAUGAGGUGCGAGGUCGGAUACUUGGAGCCAAGCCCCUACCAAGUCUUCGAGAAGUCUUUUUCGAGGUACGCCGAGAGGAGAGCAGAAAACGAGUCAUGAUGGGACAUUCUAAUACACCUGCAUCCACUGAUGGCUCAGCCCUUGCUGCAGCCAAAGACCACGUGUCCAUGGUCGAACCUGCUGCUUGUGCCGCUCGCGGGAUGUUCCAGACUCCCGGUGAAAAUCGACCACGAAGGGGACGUCCUUGGUGCGACCACUGUAAGAUGCCAGGCCACGAAAAAGUAACCUGCUGGAAGUUACAUGGAAAGCCACCAGAUUGGAAGCCAAACAG